GACGAACGUUGGCGGCGUGCUUAAUACAUGCAAGUCCACUGAAGCAGUGGUAGCAAUAUCGCUGUGGAGGUGGCGCACGGGUGAGUAACACGUAGGUAAUCUGCCUUCAGGUCUGGCAUAACUCCGGGAAACCGGGGCUAAUAGCGGAUGAUGCAGCGGCUCGACAUCGAGACAGUUGUUAAAGCUAUGGCGCCUGAAGAUGAGCCUGCGUCUGAUUAGCUAGUUGGCGGGGUAACGGCCCACCAAGGCAACGAUCAGUAGCUGGUCUGAGAGGAUGAUCAGCCACACUGGAACUGAGACACGGUCCAGACUCCUACGGGAGGCAGCAGUAAGGAAUAUUGCUCAAUGGGAGAAAUCCUGAAGCAGCAACGCCGCGUGAGGGACGAAGGGCUUUUGCUUGUAAACCUCUGUAGUGAGAGAAAAAAAUCCCAAUCUUUGGGACAUGAUGGUAUCUCAAAAGUAAGCCCCGGCUAACUACGUG
rnacentral:rRNA from 1 species